rnacentral:rRNA from 1 species
CCUACGGGUGGCAGCAGUGAGGAAUAUUGGUCAAUGGGCGUAAGCCUGAACCAGCCAAGUCGCGUGAGGGAUGAAGGUUCUAUGGAUCGUAAACCUCUUUUAUAAGGGAAUAAAGGGCGGGACGUGUCCCGUUUUGUAUGUACCUUAUGAAUAAGGAUCGGCUAACUCCGUGCCAGCAGCCGCGGUAAUACGGAGGAACCGAGCGUUAUGCGGAUUUAUUGGGUUUAAAGGGUGCGUAGGCGGCCUUUUAAGGCAACGGGGAAAGUCUGUGGCUCAACCAUAGAAUUGCCGUUGAAACUGGCAGGCUUGAGUAUGUUUGAGGCAGGCGGAAUGCGUGGUGUAGCGGUGAAAUGCUUAGAUAUCACGCAGAACCCCGAUUGCGAAGGCAGCCUGCCAGGCCAUGACUGACGCUGAUGCACGAAAGCGUGGGGAUCAAACAGGAUUAGAUACCCUUGUAGUC